rnacentral:lncRNA from 1 species
CCGGUCAGUGGAAAUACAGUAGAAAUAAUAAUAAACGAAAGAGAUGUAUAAGGUAAUGAGCAGAUAUUCCGAAUAAAGUAGCAAUAAACUGAAAGAAAGUAAGAACUAGACUGAAUAACGGCUACCGCUACUGUAACUGGAACAGAAAGCAUACAUGAAUAUCUACUAUAGUAGCAAGACAACUAUAAAGCAAGAACUG